UUUCCGUAGGUGAACCUGCGGAAGGAUCAUUAUUGAAUUCUUAAGGUUGUGCUGGUUCUUACAAGUGCACGCCUUUAUCAAUUUCCAUACACCUGUGCACCUUUGUAGGUUUGGGAGCAAUCCUGAACCUAUGUUUUAUAUACCCCUUCUUAAUGUUUUCUGAAUGUUUCUUUGUCUUUUGGCAAACAAAAUCAAUACAACUUUAAGCAACGGAUCUCUUGGCUCUCGCAUCGAUGAAGAACGCAGC
rnacentral:misc_RNA from 1 species